rnacentral:rRNA from 1 species
ACGUAGGGGGCAAGCGUUAUCCGGAAUUAUUGGGCGUAAAGAGUGCGUAGGUGGUUUCUAAGCGUGAGGUGAAAGGCAAUAGCUUAACUAUUGUAAGCCUUGCGAACUGGAAGACUUGAGUGCAGGAGAGGAAAGUGGAAUUCCUAGUGUAGCGGUGAAAUGCGUAGAUAUUAGGAGGAGCACCAGUGGCGAAGGCGACUACCUGGACUGUAACUUACUGGGAGGCACGAAAGCGUGGGAAGCAAACAG